rnacentral:misc_RNA from 1 species
CUAAUAUUUAAAAAAGAAAACAUCUUUUGUUCCUGGAAGAAUAUAGCAGUAUCAUUCUGUUAAACUUGCUUCAUAACCCUUAUGUAAUAUAUGCAUAAAUCACAAGUCUGAAAUUUACAUGCUCUAUCUCAUUGCAUUGAUGGAAAGAAUUACAUAUUGAUAUACUGGUCUUUACAUCAAAGGAAUGAAUCCUUGAAUCAGGACGAAAAAUUUUGGACAACCAGGGAAGAAGCAAAUGGCAAGUCGCUGGUCAAAAUCUUGUAGAGGCAAGAAAAAAAAAAUGAAUUUGAUGAGAAAACAUUAACAAAAUCGACCAUUACUGUUUGCAUCUCUGUGUCUUCCCACGUAAACUAAUACUGUUUUGGAAUACAGCAGAUUUUCCUGUAGCUGCAAGGCCUACAAACUUUGUACUGCUUGUUUACUCUAGUACUAGAUGUUUCUUGUCUACCUAGGGAAGAAUUGUUGUUCUCAGAUGCUUCAUUAUGAUCAACAACCAGCAGCUUUUAGAAAGUUAUCAUACGGGCACAACGAUGGUAGCUGGAAGAAGUCAGGAUUAUGUUGAUAUUCUGUCGCACAUUGCAUUGGAAUAGUUGCAAUAGAUAAUCUUUGUGAGUUUGCAGUGAAGUUCAGGUCAAGAAAAGGACUGCCUAUCUGCAUGUUCAGUUAGGUUAUGUGAAGCAUUUCACAAGAUAUCAUAUUAGCACCAUACAUAUAAAUAUGCGGAAGUAUGAAAAUGCUGAAAUUUUCCAAAGUGAGAAGAACCCACACUGGAAACCACAGUAAUAAGAGAACAAGAAAUUACCUUCUUUGUCUCCUCACAAUGAUUCUUUGGACAGAAGCUAAUCAAACUUUCCUGCUUCUUAUGGGCACUCAUCACAUUAGAAAUUUUCUUUUGCUUUCCCAUUAGAAGUGUAUCACAGUGAUGGGCCAUUUCUUUGUAAGGCAAAUCAGGUGCAGUUAUAGACAUUCUUCCAGCUUGAUGUGCUGCAUCCAAGACCUGCGCAAAUAAUGCACACUAGCAGUAAUUAUGGUUUUCAUUGUUUUGCUUACAUGGUAAGUCCCAAAUGCAGGCCUAUUAAGGCCAUAAGACCACAGUGGGCAGCACCUUCAUGCUGUCAAUAAUUUUAUAAUUUCAUAUGAGAAAUCAAUCUCGAAAUGGAUUUUCCAUAUGAGACAGAUAAAAGCCUUCUUAUUGUUCCAAAAGCAAACAGAUAGGAGCAUGAUAUGGGAGGGUGACAUACUGAUUCUGUAAGCUGAUUGACGCUUAAAAGUUUCUGGUUCUGAAAGAUCAACUCCUUAUUAGGUUUGGCUUGACCUUCUACAGAAUCUACGAGAACGUCUUCAUCUACUGUUACCAUCGAAUCAUCCUGCAUACAACAAUAGGAUGAUGUCAGCUUCAUGAAUUUAAGAGAAUGGAAAAAAAUUAAUGGAAGGAAGUGGCCGCUAUAAUAGAAUUUUCUUUUGAAUCAACCUGAUCAAGUUGAAGUAGAGCAUCCAUAAACUGGCCUCCCAAUUGGCACACAUCAUUGGGUAAGAAUUCGUUAAGGAGCUGCUCGUUUACAAAGGAUAAUUCAGACUGCAGAGAAAGUCAUUAUUCAUUAUGACUACGCAUCAUGCAAACCAUUAUAAAUAAAAUCAUGCAAGUGGAAGCCCACAAUAGUAAUAGAGUCAAAGCUUUACAUCCGGAACAUUUUCCAAGCUCUUAACAAUCUCAGCAGCGAAGAAUUCCCUGCUUUGGUCCCCUGUAAUGUCUAUUUCUGAAAGAAAUUUAAAUGCUGAAUCAUCAUCCUCCUUAGAUCCAUAAAUAUUUCUGGAGUGGUCAGAUCCAGCAUUAACAGCCUUUAACUUCUUAUUGACCAAGUGCAAAAAUGGAUCAACCUGGAAGCAUAAAUCCAUGUAAAGUCAAACAUAAAGUUUGACCACAAAUCAUAUAAAAGAUACCAAAAAUAAGGUUCAUCUUUGAUUGCAAACAAAAAAUAGAGAAAUUCCCUACUCCAUAGAGUGGACAAGGAACUUCAAAGCAGCUGCUUAAUAGACACUUACAAUCAAAGCAGGACUGCAAUUUCAUCACCAAUGAUUCACAUACCAUUUUUUCUGUAAGCAAAACCUUGGAAAACUGAACAAUUGGAACAAUAUUAUAUGCUUUUGAUGAAAAGAGAAUCAUUGAAGUUGCCAAGGUAAAGAGAGAUCUACGACGUGAUGGUGGGAGUGGCCCUCCUUUGUUAAGAGCUAUGUUUCUUAAGGAAAAUGCAAGCUGAAAGCUUCGAACUAAAGACUCAAUAUUGGAGUUCUUGGCUCGAGAGAAUAGCAUAACCAGGCCAUAUGUAUGAGCAAUUGCUUCAUAGUUUUCAGGUGUAUUUGCUGGAGAAAUGGACUGUACCCAAAUCGAUGCCAGUAACAUAUUAAUCUGAAGACUACUGAGCCUUAGAGAACCUGCAUCCGUUUCCUUAGUGCUCACAGGAUUUUCAUCUGUUGUUAAAGUUGCAAGAGAAUUUUCACCCCUGUAAAUUCGACUGUAUGAGAACUUCAAAGUAUCAACCCUAGCGUUCCUGAUUUGUUCACCUUCUACAACAGUUUCUUGGUUGUCUUGGCGGGCAUUUUCCUUAAAGGACGUUUUCUCUUUCCUUAGUUUCUCAAAAAGAGCAGCUGAGGAUGAAAAGACAGACACAGUUCUUGAAAGUGUUCGAAGAUUUAAGCCUUUCUUUGAUUCAGGAUUACUUGAGGAUUGACGGGGGCAAAUUGAAGAUGGCACUAGAACAACAGAAAAGAUGCGGUGGGCUCCAAGCCGUGCUUCAUGGUCAGGUUGGACCAUAGCCGGGAUUAAGUGAUGAAAUAAAGUCUCAGGGAAUGCCUUGUUUUGAUACAACAAAUUUGGCAUUGGAGCUACAAUUUGAGCAGUACGAUAAACAGCAGAGAUUAUUGCCCUGCUCAUAACUGCAAUAGUAGAGAUGUUCUCCAACAUCACAGCCAUAACAUCAAGAAUUGGGCCUGCAUCUCCAACCUUAUAUGAUAAUUCCACAAGGCAUUUAUCCACUGCUUCUCUAUAGCUUUUGUUCCAAUUUUUAAUGUCAUUGCCCAGAUUCACAUCAUCAGGUGAGCAAUGUAUGCCUUUCUGCAAAUGCCUCAUAAGAUCACUCACUGCACCAAUUAUUGCUACAGAAGACUCAACCUUUGCAUGUUGAGCAAGAGAGGAUAUAACCUCAACAAUCUCAAGCUGCAUCUUGGGUUGUUUAAGGACAUUUUUGUGAUCAAGAUGCUUAAUCAAUGUGGACAGCAGAACAUGUGCAUUUUGCCCUUUGAACAUAGAAACAAAUCAGAAAGGAUGGGUUAGUCGAUUAUCAAGCAAUGAAUAAAAUAAAAUAAUAUAGAAAUAGCAUAGUUUGAGUUUAAUAAACUAGGAAUCUGAAGCGAAAAUAUUAUAGAUUCCUUAGGUACCAGAAUUGUCCAUUAAAAACUGCAUAUCCCUUAACACUGGGAAUGCAAGACCAUAUUCAGGAGACCAUAAAUUUGCACAAUCAAAGUAACGGAACAAAGAUUCUAAUACACGCCGAAUGCUUGUGGUCCCCUUCCCUAGCUGGGCCAUGUUAUUCAAACAAACCCAGGACCAAAAGAUGGGAUUCUGCGCAUCUUCCCUACCAAAAAUAAUAAAUAAAAAUAAAAAAUAUGUCGAAAUUUUUUUUUUUUUUUAGUCCAAAAUAAAUGUUCGACGACAAGUUGAUCAAUUAAUUCAGUAAAAAAUGUAGUUAGUACUAAAUUUCGUUGAUACCAUCUAAAAAAUCCAAUUCAAUUGUUUACUUAUUUUCAAUUUCAAUGAGUGAGUUCAACUAACUCAUUUUUAAAAUAUAAAAUAUAAAUAUCCAGUGGAUGAAUAAAAAGGCUUCCUGAAGCCUUUCAUUUGUCUAUCAUUAUAGAUAAUAAUACUAUCCAUAUUUUCUAUGGAAUUCGCUAUUUAUGAUUCCUGAUUUUUAUCUCAUGGGCCCUUCUUUUUUUAUUUUAUUUCAGCAUAUCGAUUUACGCCUAGUUAUUAUUAUUUUCUUUUUUUCAUAGAUGAAUUCUGCAGAUUUUCACAUCUCGGAUUUACAUAUACAACAUAUAUCACUGUCAAGAUAAAAUUUCUUAUUAUUUAGAUAUUUUGAUUCAAAAAAGUUAAGGAUUAGAAACUUGAAAAACAAGGAUUGGGUUGCGCCAUAUAUAUGAAAGAGUAUACAAUAAUGAUGUAUUUGGUGAAUCAAAUACCAUGGUCUAAUAACAAAAUUCUGAUUAAUUGAUAAUAUUGGUUGAUAACUUUGUGAAAGAUUCUUAUGAAAGGCCUAUAUGACAUGACUGAUCAAUAGAAAUACUCCAACACCCUACCUUUGUUAUAUACAUCACACUAGAUAGAUAUCAUAUUCAUGUUGAAAGUGAUCUGAUUGAUAAUAAUUAUUUGGAUUAGCAAACUUAAGAUUUUUUUUUUUUUUUGCUAGCAAAUAAUCAGCAACAAAAUGUAAUUGUGUGAACUUAAACUUCAAUAUUCUUUUUCUUUAGAGUUGCCUAUUAUUUUGGUAAU